AAAUUGAAGAGUUUGAUCAUGGCUCAGAUUGAACGCUGGCGGCAGGCCUAACACAUGCAAGUCGAGCGGUAGCACAGAGAGCUUGCUCUCGGGUGACGAGCGGCGGACGGGUGAGUAAUGUCUGGGAAACUGCCUGAUGGAGGGGGAUAACUACUGGAAACGGUAGCUAAUACCGCAUAACGUCGCAAGACCAAAGUGGGGGACCUUCGGGCCUCAUGCCAUCAGAUGUGCCCAGAUGGGAUUAGCUAGUAGGUGGGGUAACGGCUCACCUAGGCGACGAUCCCUAGCUGGUCUGAGAGGAUGACCAGCCACACUGGAACUGAGACACGGUCCAGACUCCUACGGGAGGCAGCAGUGGGGAAUAUUGCACAAUGGGCGCAAGCCUGAUGCAGCCAUGCCGCGUGUGUGAAGAAGGCCUUCGGGUUGUAAAGCACUUUCAGCGGGGAGGAAGGCGAUAAGGUUAAUAACCUUGUCGAUUGACGUUACCCGCAGAAGAAGCACCGGCUAACUCCGUGCCAGCAGCCGCGGUAAUACGGAGGGUGCAAGCGUUAAUCGGAAUUACUGGGCGUAAAGCGCACGCAGGCGGUCUGUCAAGUCGGAUGUGAAAUCCCCGGGCUCAACCUGGGAACUGCAUUCGAAACUGGCAGGCUAGAGUCUUGUAGAGGGGGUAGAAUUCCAGGUGUAGCGGUGAAAUGCGUAGAGAUCUGGAGGAAUACCGGUGGCGAAGGCGGCCCCCUGGACAAAGACUGACGCUCAGGUGCGAAAGCGUGGGGAGCAAACAGGAUUAGAUACCCUGGUAGUCCACGCCGUAAACGAUGUCGAUUUGGAGGUUGUGCCCUUGAGGCGUGGCUUCCGGAGCUAACGCGUUAAAUCGACCGCCUGGGGAGUACGGCCGCAAGGUUAAAACUCAAAUGAAUUGACGGGGGCCCGCACAAGCGGUGGAGCAUGUGGUUUAAUUCGAUGCAACGCGAAGAACCUUACCUGGUCUUGACAUCCACAGAACUUUCCAGAGAUGGAUUGGUGCCUUCGGGAACUGUGAGACAGGUGCUGCAUGGCUGUCGUCAGCUCGUGUUGUGAAAUGUUGGGUUAAGUCCCGCAACGAGCGCAACCCUUAUCCUUUGUUGCCAGCGGUUAGGCCGGGAACUCAAAGGAGACUGCCAGUGAUAAACUGGAGGAAGGUGGGGAUGACGUCAAGUCAUCAUGGCCCUUACGACCAGGGCUACACACGUGCUACAAUGGCAUAUACAAAGAGAAGCGACCUCGCGAGAGCAAGCGGACCUCAUAAAGUAUGUCGUAGUCCGGAUUGGAGUCUGCAACUCGACUCCAUGAAGUCGGAAUCGCUAGUAAUCGUAGAUCAGAAUGCUACGGUGAAUACGUUCCCGGGCCUUGUACACACCGCCCGUCACACCAUGGGAGUGGGUUGCAAAAGAAGUAGGUAGCUUAACCUUCGGGAGGGCGCUUACCACUUUGUGAUUCAUGACUGGGGUGAAGUCGUAACAAGGUAACCGUAGGGGAACCUGCGGUUGGAUCACCUCCUUA
rnacentral:rRNA from 2 species